rnacentral:lncRNA from 1 species
CAGUGGCGAAGCUUGAGAUUUCCGACCGAGGGGGCGGAAGUCACCAGACCUAAAAAUUUCUUUUGACAACCACUAGGCUAUAGCCUAAGUCACAUCUACUAUAAAAUAUUUAUAGUUGUUAUUCAUCAAAUUGGAUCUUAAUAAUUCAAAUUAUAAUUUAUCAAUCGAUAAUAAAUCGAUAAUUACAACUUGACUAAUAUGCUUAUAGAGUAAGGUUAACAUACAAAAAGCCUUAUCAUACAUUACGUAGGAGACAAUGGUAACCGUUGGAUCAGGGGUAUAAUCACGCAUGGGACCACAUAAUCACGCAUGGGACCACAUAAUCACGCAUGGGACUAUAAUCACGCACGUUCUAUGAUAAUAACGCACGUUAUAUUUUUUGUCAUGUAUGUUAAUGUAGGUUAAGCCUUGAAGUACAUUAUACUUUCUCUAUGCUUAUAAGUGAAACGUACAAGCAAAAUAGAGUGUGAUUCUUUGACGCUUAUGCUACUAGGAUUGCCCUUGGCAACAUAAGUGAAAGUUGGAAGGGUCAUCAAACUAUAACUAUGGAUUAUUAUCAGCUAAUGGGUCAUAGUUUGAAGUGAAGGGCUGGCAAUUGGGUACCUGUUAAGACACAAUUAGAUCUGUUUGACUGAAAAAUAUACCCUUUGACUUUUUAAAUUUUUAAAAUAAUUAAAAUUACAACGUUAGGAUCUAUCAUUUAUUCAUCUUUGUACAUAAAACACAAAACUGUUUUAUAAACAUGAGGUAGAAAGUAGUUAAACGAGUCGUAAUCAUGUUUGAAACUUAUGUUGUGCGCGCCGUCAAAAACUUGUUAAAUCUGUUAAGACACGAUUUGCCAGCCUUAGUUUGAACUAUAAACAUCCAAUUUUCCUUCUUUUUUUUUUUUUUUUUGAUUUUAUCAUAAAUACAACAAUAUACACCAAUGCAAGCACUUUGAGAUUUCAACUUGCACAUCACUUUGUUUUAAUUAAACAACCACGAAAAAAAUUAUAAUAAAGAUUUAUACCCAAACAUGAUCUCUUUGUUUUAGUAUAUCCCUGUUCGAAAAAAA